rnacentral:lncRNA from 1 species
UCCAAACAUGUUAUGCUCUGAGUCAUUCAUCAAGUUUAUAUCUCACUUUGAUCUAUUUAUCAUUUCAUCUCAUGGAUGCAUGGCCUUCAAUCUCCUACAAUAGGACCUCUAUGAGUUAAAAUGUCUACUUGCCAUGAAUGCAUUCAACUAAAAGAACUACAUCCAUGUUAUAACACCAUAUAAAUAGAAGAAUCCACUAAGAUUCAGGCUUGCAAUGUAAGGGUUUUAAAGGCAAUUCACUUUCUCUAGGCUCAACCAAUACUAAUGAUGGUAUAGCAUGUUCUUCCUUCAACUCAUGGUGCUGUAACAUCUCAGCAUCACCUUUGCAGCGGUCUUCUAGGCCACAACCACCACCACCAAAACCAUCCUCCAUCUCAACAAUUGCUCCAAAAUGAACGCGACGCGGAUUUCACACCAUAAGGGCUGGUAACAGAGGUUGUAAGUCCAGAUUUUGGUGACCCUUUUCUGCUAUUACCAAUAUGAUUGUGGUGAUUCUCAUCAAAUUGAACAUUUACAGGUCUAAAGCAUCUAUACAUGUAGAUGAGAAGCCAAAACAGCCAUGGAAUUGCAACCAAGGUCAUGCCAACAAUGAGAUAUAACGUUACAGAUUCUAAAUCUGGGGCUCGUAUGUACACGAAAAGGAGGACUCCUCCACCGAUGGUGCAUGCCAAGAAUAAAACAGAGAUGACAUAUAUUCUAGCGUCCCCUUUUCUAUCUCCCAUGGAAGAGGAAGAUCAAUAGGAUGAUGGGGAAAUUAAUAAGAAUCUUUCUCUCUCCCCCCUCUCUCUUUCUCUUUCUCUUUCUUUGUCUCUUUCGUUCAAGUGUUUUGUUGGAGGAUGACGCAGCUACAGAAUGGUUUGAUAGGAAUCAUAGAACAGAAAGUUUCAAACAAGGCACAAAUUGAAGCGCUUGAAUCGGGCAAUAGUUUGUUGGUCAAGCAAAUAUAAGUUAUAACGUUUCAGCAGGGCCGGUCCCGACAUUUUGGAGGCCCUGGGAAAAUAAUAAAAAUAGACCCCUAAUAAUUU